rnacentral:rRNA from 1 species
UAGAUACCCCACUAUGCCUAGUCGUAAACCUAAGUAGUCCUGAAACAAGACUAUUCGCCAGAGUACUAUCGGCAACAGCCCAAAACUCAAAGGACUUGGCGGUGCUUCACAUCCCUCUAGAGGAGCCUGUUCUGUAAACGAUAAACCACGAUCAACCUCACCAGCCCUUGCUACUUCAGUCUAUAUACCGCCAUCUUCAGCAAACCCUAAAAAGGAAUAAAAGUAAGCAUAAUUACAGCACAUAAAAACGUUAGGUCAAGGUGUAACCUAUGGGUUGGGAAGAAAUGGGCUACAUUUUCUAUAACAAGAACACCCCUUAAACCCACACGAAAGUUUUUAUGAAAUCUAAAAACUAAAGGAGGAUUUAGCAGUAAAUUAAGAAUAGAAUGCUUAAUUGAAUAAGGCCAUGAANGCACGCACACACC